AUUGAACGCUGGCGGCAGGCCUAACACAUGCAAGUCGAGCGGAUGAAGGGAGCUUGCUCCUGGAUUCAGCGGCGGACGGGUGAGUAAUGCCUAGGAAUCUGCCUGGCAGUGGGGGAUAACGUCCGGAAACGGGCGCUAAUACCGCAUACGUCCUGAGGGAGAAAGUGGGGGAUCGUCGGACCUCACGCUAUCAGAGGAGCCUAGGUCGGAUUAGCUAGUUGGUGGGGUAAAGGCCUACCAAGGCGACGAUCCGUAACUGGUCUGAGAGGAUGAUCAGUCACACUGGAACUGAGACACGGUCCAGACUCCUACGGGAGGCAGCAGUGGGGAAUAUUGGACAGUGGGCGAAAGCCUGAUCCAGCCAUGCCGCGUGUGUGAAGAAGGUCUUCGGAUUGUAAAGCACUUUAAGUUGGGAGGAAGGGCAGUAAGUUAAUACCUUGCUGUUUUGACGGUACCAACAGAAUAAGCACCGGCUAACUUCGUG
rnacentral:rRNA from 1 species